rnacentral:rRNA from 1 species
GGGCCCGCACAAGCGGUGGAGCAUGUGGUUUAAUUCGAUGAUACGCGAGGAACCUUACCAGGGCUUAAAUGUAGUUUGACCGGUCUGGAAACAGACUUUCUCUUCGGAGCAGAUUACAAGGUGCUGCAUGGUUGUCGUCAGCUCGUGCCGUGAGGUGUCAGGUUAAGUCCUAUAACGAGCGCAACCCCUACCGUUAGUUGCCAGCGUGUAAUGACGGGGACUCUAACGGAACUGCCGGUGCAAACCGUGAGGAAGGUGGGGACGACGUCAAAUCAUCACGGCCCUUACGUCCUGGGCCACACACGUGCUACAAUGGUAGGUACAGAGGGAAGCCACCCCGCGAGGGGGAGCGGAUCUAUAAAACCUAUCUCAGUUCGGAUUGGAGUCUGCAACUCGACUCUAUG